CGGCGAGGCUUCCUGACCGUUACACAAGGAGGCACUCGAUCAUGCUGUGGGAUACCCGGACAGGUACCCUUAGACGCCCGUCGUCGAUAGUAUGGUGUGAGGAUGGGUUAAAUGCCCA
rnacentral:ncRNA from 1 species